AACGCACGAGACCUGCGGACCUGCGGAGGGAUCAUUACCGAGUUAUACAACUCCCAAACCCACUGUGAACCUUACCUCAGUUGCCUCGGCGGGACCGCCCCGGCCGCCGCGCAAGCGGCGCCGGACUCCAAGGCGCCCGCCGCAGGGACCCAAAACUCUUUUGCAUUACGCCCAACGGCGGGAAUUUUUUCUCUGAGUGCAUAAGCAAAACAAAUGAAUCAAAACUUUUAACAAUGGAUC
rnacentral:misc_RNA from 1 species